ensembl:lncRNA
GUGAUGAUGAGGUUAAGGGUUUAGGGGGACAUGAUGAGUGGAGGUGAUGAUGAGGUAAAGGGUUUAGGGGACAGGAUGAGUGGAGGUGAUGAUGAGAUAAAGGGUUUAGGGGGACAGGAUGAGUGGAGGUGAUGAUGAGGUUUAGGGGGACAGGAUGAGUGGAGGUGAUGAUGAGGUAAAGGGUUUAGGGGGAUGAGUGGAGGUGAUAAUGAGGUUAAGGGUUUAGGGGGACAGGAUGAGUGGAGGUGAUGAUGAGGUAAAGGGUUUAGGGGGACAGGAUGAGUGGAGGUGAUGAUGAGGUUUAGGGGGAGAGGAUGAGUGGAGGUGAUGAUGGGAUAAAGGGUUUAGGGGGACAGGAUGAGUGGAGGUGAUGAUGAGGUUUAGGGGGACAGGAUGAGUGGAGGUGAUGAUGAGGUUAAGGGUUUAGGGGGAUGAGUGGAGGUGAUGAUGAGGUUAAGGGUUUAGGGGGACAUGAUGAGUGGAGGUGAUGAUGAGGUUAAGGGUUUAGGGGGAC